AUACGGAGGAUGCGAGCGUUAUCCGGAUUUAUUGGGUUUAAAGGGAGCGUAGGCGGGAGCUUAAGUCAGCGGUUAAAUGGUGCGGCUCAACCGUGCCCUGCCGUUGAAACUGGGUUUCUUGAGAGUGCAAGAGGCGGAUGGAAUUCAUGGUGUAGCGGUGAAAUGCUUAGAUAUCAUGAAGAACUCCGAUUGCGAAGGCAGUCCGCUGGGGCACGUCUGACGCUGAUGCUCGAAGGUGCGGGAAUCAAACAGGAUUAGAUACCCUGGUAGUCCACGCCGAAAAC
rnacentral:rRNA from 1 species